AUACGGAGGAUCCGAGCGUUAUCCGGAUUUAUUGGGUUUAAAGGGUGCGCAGGCGGCCACUUAAGUCAGCGGUUAAAUCGUGGGGCUCAACCCCAUUCUGCCGUUGAUACUGGGUGGCUUGAUUGCGGUCGAGGUUGGCGGAAUUCGUUGUGUAGCGGUGAAAUGCAUAGAUAUGACGAAGAACACCGAUUGCGUAGGCAGCUGACCAGACCGCAAAUGACGCUCAUGCACGAAAGUGCGGGGAUCGAACAGGAUUAGAUACCCUGGUAGUCCGCACAGUAAACGAUGAAUACUUGUUUUCGGCGAUAUAAUGUCGGAGGCAAAGCGAAAGCGAUAAGUAUUCCACCUGGGGAGUACGCCGGCAACGGUGAAACUCAAAGGAAUUGACGGG
rnacentral:rRNA from 1 species